AAUCUGUACUUGACAUCGAACGGUUUCCAAGAACAGGUGUGGACGAGCACACACUAAACAACUUUCUUGGAAGACUAGCACGUAGGCUUAGGCGUGCUGCAGCUCGGUGCGGUUGCGGUACUAGUGCUGCGAUGAAUGUGCAUGUGCCACAGGAACGACAAUGCAACACACCUGUUGUGCAUGGUACAUCUUCUUUGGGAGGAUCUGGAGGACAGAGCUCGUCU